UCCCUGGUGGCUCAGAUGGUAAAGCAUCUGCCUACAGUGUGGGAGACCUGGGUUCAAUUCCUGGCUUUGGAA
rfam:TPA: Bos taurus chromosome 10, whole genome shotgun sequence.